CUCAGGCAGGACAGAAAAUGGAGAUGGCAUCUCCGGCUCAACUCCUCUGGCUCGUGCUGCUCUGGAUCCCGGGCUCCAGUGGGGACAUUGUGAUGACCCAGACUCCAGGCUCCCUGACUGUGUCCCCAGGAGAGAGUGUCACCAUCCAGUGCAAAUCCAGUCAGAGUAUCAGCACAAGCUAUCUACACUGGUACCAACAGAAGUCAGGACAGGGUCCUAAACUCCUGAUCUACAGUGGAUCUACCCUCGCCUCCGGAGUCCCGGACCGGUUCAGUGGCAGUGGGUCUGGGACGGAUUUCACUCUCACCAUCAGUGGUGUCAAAGCCGAUGAUGCUGCAGAUUAUUACUGUCAGCAGAGUAGCAGCUUGCCUCUCACAGUGCUCUAG